UGAGCAAUCUGCCCUUCACAUCGGAAUAACCAUUGGAAACGAUGGCUAAUACCGAAUAUGACUUCGGAUCGCAUGAUCUGAAGUGGAAAGCUCCGGCGGUGAAGGAUGAGCUCGCGGCCUAUCAGCUUGUUGGUGAGGUAAUAGCUCACCAAGGCGACGACGGGUAGCCGGCCUGAGGAGGGUCGACCGGCCACACGUGGGACUGAGACACCGGCCCAAAUCCGUAACGGG
rnacentral:rRNA from 1 species